AUCCGUAACUCAUAAUGACGUACAGGAAAAUUGGGUACUGGUAAUUGCAGUCCUCCAUGAAGAAGAUCUGGCCUAUGUGGAUGGUGACAAGGAUAAACUGGACCUGGGAGAUGGGAGAAUGAAAAGAAAAUUAGAAUGAAUUCUGAGGAAUUAUCUGAUCUUAACUCAAGGACUUACUCUUCACACCUGUAACCCUCACAGCACUCUUUACUUAUGAGAAGAAAGACAAACUGACCAACAUUGGCACUAAAUAGAUGCAUCUGAGACCAUUAUAAGAAUGAAGAUGCUAGCUUAAUCAUGUGAGACUCUGAGCUACCAAAUCUGCUUUAUUUUCAGCCGACAGAGCUUCUGACCAAGUGCAAACAGUGACGCAUACCCCACAGAAGACAAACAUCCUAUUUCUUCAUAGACGGUUCCAGACUCAUCUAGACUCCUAACUCACAGAGAAAACAUGUGAUUGCAGUUUUGUUUCAUAUUUAAAAAAAAAACAGUUACUCACAAGCU